UCUAAAUGUAUUAUUUAUUUAUAUGAAUGUAUUAUUUAUUUAUAUAAAGGCCGGUCCGCGAAAAAAAUCUGACACAUAACCGGUCUGUGGCGCAAAAUAGGUUGGGGACCACUGUCCUAAAGCACUUUUGGACAAGCCAGCUUCAUUUUCGAAAGCUGUGCUGUGGACUGAUGAAACAAAAAUUUAGUUAUUUGGACAUAACAAGGGGCGGUAUGCAUGGAGGAAGAAGAACACAGCAUUCCAUGACAAACACUUGCUACCCACAGUCAAAUUUGGUGGUGGUUCCAUCAUGCUGUGGGGCUGUGUGGCCAAUGCAGGUACUGGCAAUCUUGUUAAAGUUGAAGGUCACAUGGAUUCAAGUC